UACGGAGGGUGCAAGCGUUAUUCGGAAUUACUGGGCGUAAAGCGCACGUAGGCGGCCUUGUAAGUCAGGGGUGAAAUCCCACGGCUCAACCGUGGAACUGCCUUUGAAACUGCAGGGCUUGAAUCCUGGAGAGGGUGGCGGAAUUCCUGGUGUAGGAGUGAAAUCCGUAGAUAUCAGGAGGAACACCGGUGGCGAAGGCGGCCACCUGGACAGGCAUUGACGCUGAGGUGCGAAAGUGUGGGGAG
rnacentral:rRNA from 1 species